rnacentral:tmRNA from 1 species
GGGGGUGAACUGGUUUCGACGGGGGUUGCAAAGCAGCGCGGGGCAUGCCGAGGCGCUUGUCCUCGUUAAACUCGAGCAAUCGCAAAUCUAACUGCGAACGACGAAACGUACGCUCUGGCGGCUUAACCCCGCCGGACCUCGCACCGGGCGGCGCUCAGCCCGGGUGACGAGCGGGUAACACCGCAAGUCGCAGCGAGGACCCUUUGAGCGAUCGCGCGCGGUCGGGCCGCUUGGCCGUGGCGCUAAAGCAAGGCGGCUGGUUUGCCCGCAGCCCGUCCGUCGGCGGUGGGGGAACGAGAUCCAAAUGGCGCGACUAAGCAUGUAGUCCCGACUGUGGAGUGCUUCCGGACGCGAGUUCGAUUCUCGCCACCUCCACCA